UAACACGUGGGUAACCUGCCCAUAAGACUGGGAUAACUCCGGGAAACCGGGGCUAAUACCGGAUAAYAUUUUGAACYGCAUGGUUCGAAAUUGAAAGGCGGCUUCGGCUGUCACUUAUGGAUGGACCCGCGUCGCAUUAGCUAGUUGGUGAGGUAACGGCUCACCAAGGCAACGAUGCGUAGCCGACCUGAGAGGGUGAUCGGCCACACUGGGACUGAGACACGGCCCAGACUCCUACGGGAGGCAGCAGUAGGGAAUCUUCCGCAAUGGACGAAAGUCUGACGGAGCAACGCCGCGUGAGUGAUGAAGGCUUUCGGGUCGUAAAACUCUGUUGUUAGGGAAGAACAAGU
rnacentral:rRNA from 1 species